rnacentral:rRNA from 1 species
UACAGAGGGGGCAAGCGUUGUUCGGAAUUACUGGGCGUAAAGGGCGCGUAGGCGGCCUUCUAAGUCAGACGUGAAAUCCCUCGGCUUAACCGGGGAACUGCGUCUGAUACUGGAUGGCUUGAGAUUGGGAGAGGGAUGCGGAAUUCCAGGUGUAGCGGUGAAAUGCGUAGAUAUCUGGAGGAACACCGGUGGCGAAGGCGGCGUUCUGGACUGCAACUGACACUGAGGAACGAAAGCCAGGGGAGCAAACGGG